rnacentral:pre_miRNA from 1 species
AUGGCAAUGGCCGCCUUGUCAGGGGGUUUUUGGAUACGCAGAAUGUUUUGUCAUACAUCCAGCAUAUCCAAAAACUCAUCUGAUAAUUUGGCCUCUGCGUC